UGCGAGCGUUAAUCGGAAUUACUGGGCGUAAAGGGUGCGCAGGCGGCUCCGCAUGUCGGGCGUGAAAUCCCCGGGCUUAACCUGGGAAUUGCGUCCGAAACUAUGGAGCUGGAGUGUGGCAGAGGGAGGUGGAAUUCCACGUGUAGCGGUGAAAUGCGUAGAGAUGUGGAGGAACACCGAUGGCGAAGGCAGCCUCCUGGGCCAACACUGACGCUCAUGCACGAAAGCAUGGGGAGCAAACAGG
rnacentral:rRNA from 1 species